rnacentral:lncRNA from 1 species
UGAAGAAGACGCAUCUUGUCAAGGCUGCUGGCUCCGGCGGACAAAGGCGGGAGCGGCUGCUGCGCGAGAACCGACGUGAGCUGUGUGCGGUGGUGUCAUAAGGAGCCUGUCCAUCUCCACUAGAGUUAUCCCAAGUUUCACUUCACAUCGUGAUGUUGUUUUACCUUUUUUUUCUUGUCGUCGUCCCGCUGCCUGCUAUAACGGACAGCGCUCCCUGUUGGCGCCGACGCCGGCGGGGGUGGUGCCCUGGCGGCGGAGGGUGUAUGUCCUCUGCCGCCGGGUGCUCCCCUGCUUGUACCUAGAUGGUUGGUUACUCUUUCCGUCCAUUGUCACCGGCUAACAUUGUGAUAAUAUCAGUCUGGGUAAUGUUAGAUUAAGCUGUUGUUUGUGUCCCAUGGCAUGCAUUCGCGCGUAUGAUUUGCUCCUCAUUAUGCUUGCUUGGUUGGUUC